rnacentral:rRNA from 1 species
GUACACACCGCCCGUCGCUGCUACCGAUUGAAUGGUUUAGCAAGCUCCAGGGAUCGGCGGCCGCGGUUGAGAAAUCUUCUGCAGUUGCUGAGAACUGGCGCAAACUUGACCAUUUAGAGGAAGCAAAAGUCGUAACAAGGUUUCUGUAGGUGAACCUGCAGAAGGAUCA